rnacentral:rRNA from 1 species
UACGUAGGGUGCAAGCGUUGUCCGGAAUUAUUGGGCGUAAAGAGCUCGUAGGCGGUUUGUCACGUCUGCUGUGAAAACUGGAGGCUCAACCUCCAGCCUGCAGUGGGUACGGGCAGACUAGAGUGCGGUAGGGGAGAAUGGAAUUCCUGGUGUAGCGGUGGAAUGCGCAGAUAUCAGGAGGAACACCGAUGGCGAAGGCAGUUCUCUGGGCCGUAACUGACGCUGAGGAGCGAAAGCGUGGGGAGCGAACAGG